rnacentral:rRNA from 1 species
AAGAGACAGCAGUAGCCGCGGGAAUACAGAGGGUGCGAGCGUUAAUCGGAUUUACUGGGCGUAAAGCGUGCGUAGGCGGCUUUUUAAGUCGGAUGUGAAAUCCCUGAGCUUAACUUAGGAAUUGCAUUCGAUACUGGGAAGCUAGAGUAUGGGAGAGGAUGGUAGAAUUCCAGGUGUAGCGGUGAAAUGCGUAGAGAUCUGGAGGAAUACCGAUGGCGAAGGCAGCCAUCUGGCCUAAUACUGACGCUGAGGUACGAAAGCAUGGGGAGCAAACAGGAUUAGAUACCCCCGUAGUCCCUGUCUCUUAUAC